UCUACCUGGGAGCUCUUUCCUGGUUUCCAGACUCUUCCUGGGGUGGGUCCUGCGGCCUCCGGAGCCCGUCGUUCCGCCGUCAUCUGGGCCUGGUGGUGAACUAGGAGCGAAGCGGGGGCACUCCCAAGUUAAAGCGCUGGCGGGGAGCUCCGGGCCCUCGGGGGCUGGAGGGGAAGGGGCUGGGUGGAGCUGGGCUCGUCCGCGUAGCGUUGACGCGCGCUCUCCCCGCCGCCCUCUCCAUGGAGGCCCCGAGGCGGGUUUCCCAUGGUCCUGGAGAAAGGCAGCGAGGGCAGGGCUCCCGACCUGCAGGCCUCAUUGCGGGCGCUCCCUGCAGCCCUUCUUUGCCUGAAGAAGAUGCUCUGUGAAGGUGAAAGGCUUGUGCAUCCAAACGGCUAAAAUCUGAUCCCCAAAGUUCCGCUGAUGCACUUGGAUAGCAGACUGCCCGGCUGGUUUGAAGAGUACUGGAGGACGGCAGGGAAGUGGGCGAAAUUUUAAUAUAGAAGCUUACAUUAUAAUCAUAUUAGUUGUUUUAUACUAAGCAUUUAUUAGAAGAAAGAGGUGAGCUGCAGUUGAAAGGAAUGACCAGGGUGCAGAUUUGACUGGAAACGAUUUCAGGGGGCUGUGGGGUGGGGGGGACGUUUGAAGUUUUAAGAGCAUGAUUUUUGGGUUCAGGUCAGGUCUUGCCAUAAAACACUGCAUCCCAGGGCAUGUUAUUUAGACUAAUCCUGUUUCCUCAUGUGUGACAUGAAGGUAGGAAUAAUAUUUCCCUUACAGGCUUGUUCUGAUGUGAAAGGAGAUAGCACUUGUGAAGAGCAAACCCAUGGUAUAAUACACCCUCGAUGUGUAUUCCUUGCUUUCAAUGUUACAGAGAAUUUUUAGAGCUCUCAUUCAGCCCUCCCAGCCAGGCUGUGAAGUUGGUAUGCCACCCCUAUUGGAGCACUUUUUUUUUUAAAUUGAGGUAUAGUCAGUUUACAAUGUUGUGUCAAUUUCUGGUGUACUGGAGCACAUUUUAAAACCUCAUUCACCAGAGAGUAAGGUGAUUUAUUCUCUGGUGAAUGAAAUGAGUUUUGAAAUGAGAUCUGUUUUACUCCCAGUCUCAUGAUCUUUGUAAUAUACAUUCCCCUCUACCUACACCUGUUAGGUUUUCUCUGGCAUGAUGACUUGCCCUGUGUGUGCCCUAGAAAGCAAUUAUACUCUGUAUUUUGAUAAUCAAACCAUUGGACUUAUUUUCCUUAGGUCCCAAGGCAUAAUCAAGGCUUCUAGGCUCUUUCUGCCUCCUGCAGUAUUGUCUCACUCCUCAGUAGCCUUGAUUGGAAUUUAGAAAAGGCACUUGAACCUUGGAACUCCCAAGUGCAGAUUCCAGCUAAUGGAAAUGUGACUGCUACACCCAGGCUGAAACAAAACCAUCCCAGUGAAGUAAAAAGCGGAAGACUCCAAGAACAGAAAUCUCACCUGGAAGACCAUAUUCCUGAACUGAAACUUCUCCCUAGGAUUUUAGGGCUGAGACAAAAGAAUUCCUGAGAGGAGCGUAUUCAAGUUACUGGGCCAGAAUUUCUCUCUCUGGUGUGAGCAAAAUCUGGGUGAUUGCACCAUAUCCAGAGACCACUGAUUAUUGUGACUCAGCAAAGCGUCAGUUCACCUUUCGAAAGAAAGAUAGAUUGGUUUCAUUUGAGGACCUGGCUGUGGACUUCACCCAGGAGGAGUGGCAGCGCCUGGACCCCACUUAGAGGCUCCUGUGCAGGGAUGUGAUGCUGGACAACUACAGCCGUCUCAUCUCAGCAGGGUAUCCUGUUAGGAAACCAGGUGUGGUCUUCAGAUUGGAGCAAGAAGAGCCCUGGACAGUAGAGGAAUUCUCAAGGUAGAACCCCCCAGGGGAGUGAUAACUGAGCAGGUAGACGCCAGUGGAAGGGAGAGCUCCACCAUGGUGGUUCAUGGUCACAGCUGGUAUCUUUGUAAUGCUUCUCAGGAAUCUCUUUCUGUAGGCUCUAGACUUUGGGAAGUAAUUGAGGACAAGUGACUGUCAUGCUGUAGAUACUUAAUAUGCUGUCCCUGAAUAAAUAUACUUCUUUAAUCAAAAUUUAUGAAGAUUUUUGCCACGAAGUUGCCUGCUCCCGGUCCACAGUCCCUCUUGCACUGCACCAUGAACUUUAUUUCCAUGGCACUCUUGCCUCCCUGACCCCACCCCGCAUCGUCAUAGACUUCUUGUAUCAUCAGACAUUCAUAGAUCAGUGUCGGGGGAAAAAGUCUUGUUUGAUUUGCAUGAUCGGCCUAGUUGCAUUCUGCUUUUCUCUCCAUCCUUUAAUUGAGAAAUCAGUUUCAGUCUCCAUGCUCGGUCUCACUGGGUGGGGACUAGGGUGAGACAAACAAGAUGCCUCAGGCACAAAACUUAAGAAAACCCCCAGUCUUGGGGUCAUGCAGGUGCCCUGGAGGUCAUGCCUACCUCACCCUCGUCCCAGCCCUGCUCCUGGUCUCACUGUCUCUCUCUGAGGCUUCUUUCAGUCUCGUCUGACUUAUUCAGAACUCUGUCCGCUACACUUGCAGGGUCCCUCGUGCUUCCUGUUCCUUGUGACUGGUUUACUUUUCCCGUGUCAGAGGGACUCAUAUUUUUGGCUAGUUUCCUCUUCCUUCCAUCCUGUUGCUUAGGCUGCGGUGGGUGUGCUUGCUUUUUGUUGUUGUUGUUGUUGUUGUUGUUGUUGUUGUUGUUUCCCCCUAAAUCAGUAGGAAAUGUUUGCACUUGAAAGUUCCCUAAUCCUCAGAAGCUGGGCCUGAAGUCCAGUCCCCCACAAUAAGGCAUUUGUAAGGAAUUCUCAUUUCAUAGAAAAUGUGUCACUGCAGGAUUGCCAUUAAGUUAGUAGGACAUUUUUUCCUAUCAAAUUCUGAUUUCCAUAAGUGGGCUUUUCCCCCAAACUCAUCCCUGCUCUCUCUGCUACAUUAUGCAUUCUGCCCCAGGGAAGAUGAAAUGUGUUUAUCUCACACGUAAAAUUGUCAUAUGUAUAUAAAUACACAUAUGUAUAAGUGUAUAUGUAAAUACAUGCAUGUGUAUGUAUUGUGUAUAGGAAUAUAUCCUUGGGAAUAAGUGUGUAUGUGUGUGUAUAUAUACGUGUGUGUUUGUAUACCAGUCCCACUAUUUUCCUAUGAAACUUAGUCACUUCAAAGGUUUGGUUGCUAUUAUGAAUGGUAUUUUAUUAUCUUUCAUAUUAAAACUGUAUUCUUUGUCUACAUGUA